rnacentral:rRNA from 1 species
AUGGCGAUGGCGGCUCUCCGAUGCGCUGCCGGAAGGAGGCUCGCCGGUGGCGGCCGCCUUCUACCGCCGGUGCUCGGCUUGGGCCGCCCGAAUCUCACCCAGGCCUUUUCAUCGCACGGGAAAGAAGAAGCCGGGAGGGAGGUCCUGGAGCAGAUCCAAGAGAAGAAGGAGAAGCUGUACGACCUCAUCCUGCGCCACGGCUAUAAGCGCAAUGACGGCUCCAUGUGCUACGCAAACGUCCAGCUCAUGCAUCAUCUCUCCGCGCACAUCAAACCUAGGCCCGAAAGCAUCGCGUGGCGUUACCUUCUCAAUGGACAUAGCUUCUAUAUUCUGUGGAUGUGCUUAAGCCCUGGCGUAAGCGCCUAUGCAAUCUGGAAUAUCUAUAAAGCAGGGGGCAGCGGAAAGAACUUGGGUGCUGUUCAACAGGGAGGAGAUGAGUUGAGGAAGAAGAAUUGCAUCGGUCAGGGGGAAGAAGUAGUUGCCUGCUGA